rnacentral:tRNA from 1 species
UCCCUGGUAGUCCAGUGGUUAGAUCCUGUACUUUCAAUGCAGGGGGCACAGGUUUGAUCCCUGGUCUGGGAA